AAAGUUUUAAGUUAUAUAAACUAUUAACCUUCAAAGUUAAAAAUAUGAAUUAAUCAUAAACUUUA
rnacentral:tRNA from 1 species